GACGAACGCUGGCGGCGUGCCUAAUACAUGCAAGUAGAACGCUGAAGAGAGGAGCUUGCUCUUCUUGGAUGAGUUGCGAACGGGUGAGUAACGCGUAGGUAACCUGCCUUGUAGCGGGGGAUAACUAUUGGAAACGAUAGCUAAUACCGCAUAACAAUGGAUGACACAUGUCAUUUAUUUGAAAGGGGCAAUUGCUCCACUACAAGAUGGACCUGCGUUGUAUUAGCUAGUAGGUGAGGUAAUGGCUCACCUAGGCGAAGAUACAUAGCCGACCUGAGAGGGUGAUCGGCCACAACGGGACUGAGACACGGCCCAGACUCCUACGGGAGGCAGCAGUAGGGAAUCUUCGGCAAUGGGGGCAACCCUGACCGAGCAACGCCGCGGGAGGGAAGAAGGGUUUCGGAUCGUAAAGCUCUGUUGUAAGUCAAGAACGGGUGUGAGAGUGGAAAGUUCACACUGUGACGGUAGCUUACCAGAAAGGGACGGCUAACUACGUG
rnacentral:rRNA from 1 species